CACUUCCGUUUCCGGCCCUGCCCGCCUCCGUUUGAGUAGAGCGCGGCACCGGCGUGUUCGGCUUGCACCUGUGUCUCUUCUGUGAGGAGAGCAGUGAGGGUGGUCACGGCUCCUCAGCGUGCGCAGCUUUCUGGCCCAACCCUCCCAGCUAGGUCGUGAACGGCUGCCGCCGGACUGGGGCACAAAGACCUGGUUGGCGUAGUCAAGAUUCUUUGUCCUUGCCUGGGAGAACAGUUCAGGGGACAGACCGCCCCAAGACUACCAAGAACCCAGAUCCAGGGAUCACUGACAUUUGGGGAUGUGGCUGUGGCCUUUACCCAGAUUGAAGGGAGACACCCGGAUGCUGCUCAGCGGGCCCUGUACAGGGAUGUGAUACUGGAGAACUAUGGGAAUCUGGUGUUUGUGGGGCUUCUCUCUUCCAAACCCAAGCUAAUAACCCAGUUGGAUGGAAGAGCCAUGGAUGGAAGUAUAAGGGGUUCCAUCAGGUACUUAUACAGUUCAGGAGUACAUAUUUGAAACAAAGAUGUCAGCCCUACAGCAAAAUACUUCUGAGAGAUCUGAUUUGGGAGAACAAACAAAAAGUGUCAUGAUGGAAAGAGGCCUGGAUUGGGAAGGCAGAAGUUGCAUAGAGAAGACACACUAUAAAUGCAAGGAAUGUGGGAAAGUCUUCAAAUAUAAUUCCUCCUUUAUUAGCCACCAGAGAAAUCGUACUGCUGAGAAACCCCAUAAAUGUAAAGAAUGUGGGAUAGCCUUUAUGAGCAGCUCAUCCCUUUUAAAUCAUCAUAAAAUUUACAUAGGCAAGAAAUGUUUCAGAUGUGUUAAAUGUGGGAAAUUUUCUCAAGAAGCAGUCAACAUUUGUUAAUCAUCAGAAAAUUCAUUCUAGAGAGAAACUCCAUAAAUGCAAUGAAUGUGGAAAAUUUUCAGAAAUAAUUCUAUUCUUUUAAGUCACCAGAGACUUCAUACUGGUUAGAAACCCUACAAAUAUAAUGAUUGUGGGAAAGCCUUUGCUCAGAAUUCAGGCCUUGCUCAUUAUGUGAAAAUACAUAGUGGAGAGAAGCCAUUUAAAUGUAAUGAAUGUGGGAAAACUUUCAGGGAUAACUCAGCUGUCUUGUAACAUCAGAGAAUACAUACUGGUGAGAAACAGUAUCAGUGUAAUGAAUGUGGAAAAUGCUUUAUUUAGGAAAAGCUCAAGUCAUGUUAGUCAUCAAAGAAUGCAUACAGGAGAGAAACCUUAUCUCUGUAGUAAAUGUGGAAAAUCAGGUAUAGCUCAUCCUUUGCUGGACAUCAGAAAACUCAUAGUGGAAAUAAACCCCAUCAAUAAACCCCAUUACAUCAAUGUAAUGACCGUGGGAAAGCCUUUAGCAAGAGCUCAGCCCUUACUGAACAUCAGAGAAUUCUUACUGGAGAAAAGCCCUAUUGCUGUAAGAAAUGUGGGAAAUCCUUCAGGCAUAGCUCUGGCCUUGCUGAACAUGAGAAAAUCCAUACAGGAGAAAAACCUUAUGAAUGUAAUGAAUGUGGGAAGGCUUUUCCUCAGAAUUCAAGCCUCAAACAACAUAAGAAAAUUCAUAACAAAGAAAGAGCCAUCAAAUGUAGUUAGUUUGGUAAAUCAUGCAGAGAUAGUUUAUUCCUUUUUGACCAUCAAGGAGGAGACAUUCAAUAAAUUAUACACUUAAUGAAUAUAUUCUGUGACCCUCUAUCCUGGAAAACUUCUCACUUGUGAGGAUGUUCAUUGUAGUAUGGUUUGUACUAGCGAAAUAUUUGAAGAACUUAAAUGUAGCAAGAACCUAAAUGCUACUAUGUAGCAAGUGAAAAGAGUGAGGUAGAGCUCUAUAUACAACCAUAGAUAUAUCUCCAUGAUACCUUGAUAAGGUAAAAAAGCAAAUUGCAAAGAAUUAAUAUUGUAGAAAUGGCCAUACUACCCAAAGCAAUCUACAGAUUUAAUGUGAUCUCUAUCAGAUUACCCGUGACAUUUUUUGCAGAGCUAGAACAGAUAAUCCUAAAAUUUACAGGGAACCACAAAAGACCCAGAAUUGUGAAAGUAAUCCUGAGAAAAAAGAACAAAACUAGAGGCCUAACUCUCCCAGACUUCAGACAAUACUACAAAGCUACAGUAAUCAAAACAGCAUUGUAUUGGCACAAAAACAGACACGUAGCUCAAUGGAACAGAAUAGAGAGCCCAGAAAUAAACCCAAACACCUAUGGGCAAUUAAUCUUUGACAAAGGAGGUGAGAAUAUACAAUGGAGAAAAGAUAGUCUCUUCAGCAAGUGGUGUUGGGAAAGCUGGACAGCUGCAUGUAAUAAAUCAAUGAAGUUAGAACAUGCCCUCACACCGUACACAAAAAUAAAUUCAAAAUGGCUUAAAGACUUAAAUGUAAGACACCAUAUAACUCCUAGAAGAGAGCAUAGGCAAAACAUUCUCUGACAUAAGUCAUAGCAGUAUUUUCUUAGGUCAGUCUCCCGAGGAAAAAGAAAUAAAAGCAAAAACAAACAAAUGGGACCUAAUCAAACUUUGCAUAGCAAAGGAAACCAUAAACGAAACAAAAAGACAACCUGUGGACCAGGAGAAAAUAUUUGCAAACAAUGUGACUGAGAAGGGCUUAAUUUCCAUAAUAUACAAACGGCUCAUACAGCUCAAUUAAAAAGAAUAAAAAUGAAAUCCCAAUCAAAAAAUGGGCAGAAAACCUAAAUAGACAUUUCUCCAGAGAAGAUGUUCAGAUGGCCAAUAGGCACAUGAAAAGAUGCUCAGGAUUGCUAAUUAUUAGAGAAAUGCAAAUCAAAACUGCAAUGAGGUAUCUCCUCACACUGGUCAGAGUGGCCAUGAUCAAGAAGUCUACAAUAAAUGCUAGAGAGGGUGUGGAGAAAAGGGAACCCUCCUACACUGUUGGUGGGAAGGUAAAUUGAUACAGUCACUAUGGAGAGCAGUAUGGAGGCUCCUUAAAAACUAAAAACAGAUACCAUAUGAUCCAGCAGUCCCUAAUUUAAAAAGAUACAUGCACCCUAAUGUUCAUUGCAGCAUUAUUUACAAUAGCCAAGACAUGGAAAUCACUUGUGUCCACUGACAGAUGAAUGGAUAAAGAAGAGGUGGUAUACAGAUACACAUAUAUAUGAUGGAAUAUUACCCAGCCAUAAAAAAGAAUGAAAUAAUGCCAUUUACAGCAACAUGGAUGGACCUAGAGAUUAUCGUAUUUAGUGAAGUAAGAGAAAAACAAAUAUAUGAUAUCACUUAUUUGUGGAAUCUAAAAGAAUGAUACAAAUGAACUUAUUUACAAAACACAAACAGACUCACAGGCAUAGGAAACAAACCUAUGGUUACCAAAGGGGAUAGCUGAGGUGGGGAUGGGGGGGAAAUAAAUUGGGAAUUUGGGAUUAGCAGGUACACACUACUAUAUAUAAAAUAGAUAAAACAACAAGGAUCUACUGUACAGCACAGUGAACUAUAUUCAAUAUCUUGUAAUAACUUAUAAUGGAA